CCUCAUUUGACCCUCACAACAACCCUGAGAGUUGAACAGAGCACGACUUAUCAUUUCCCCUUUAUAGAAGGGGACACAGAGGCUCAGGAGGGCUCAGCCACUAGCCUGCCCAAGGUCACGCUGCAGAACAGCAGAUGCUCCAGUGGACUCAGUGGCUUCACAGGCUGGGUCUUGGGAGAGAAGGCUGGGGGCUCGUGCUGCCGGGAGCCCCACCUCCAGUGCCAACCAGGGCUCCCAGCAUGCUUCCAGCCCCAGACCCCCGCACUGCCUCGGGGACCUCCGCCCAGGACCUCAAACCACUCUAGAAACCAUGAACAACAGCCUUUGUAAACACAACAGAUUCUGGAAACUUUAAAUAGUUUUUGGAGCCUCCAAACAGCUUCCACGACUGACAAAUUGCUUCCAAAAUGUUCAAAUGCCUUUGGAAUCUUUGAGCAGCCCCGGAGACUCGGACCAAAAUUGAGAGCCAAGAAGGGCCCGGGGCCAAGGCAGGACUCAGGCCGUCUUCCCAGCCAGCAAGCAAGCCCUCCUCCAAAUGGGGGCUGGCUGCACCCUGGCCGUGGCCUGCAGCGGGGCCCAGCCUCAUCUCAGGCCUGACUGAGCAGCUUCAUGGUGGCCCAGAACGAGCGCUGGGCUCCGAGGAGGAGGCGACGACGCUUCCUCCGGCCUCUGCCUUGCUGGGGGACCUCAAUCAAAUCACUUCUCUCUGGGCCUUGGCUUCCCCCGCGCACAGAACGGGGUGGCUGUGUGAGAGUUUCAGGGUGUACAGAUGUGCGGCCCAUCUCUGGGAUCCACACCCGGUCCCCACCCCCACGGCUUCAGCCUGUCCAGAGUGCAGGGCAGUGGGCCGGGGAGAAGGCACCGCUUCUCCGGGCGGAGCAGGCCCGCGGGCCCGCGAGGGGCGCCCCAGCCCACGGGGCUCUGCAGCCAGCGGGGUGGGCUCGACCUUUCUGCUUUCCGUGGGAGCUGGAUGCACACCCCCACCCCCGGCCCUCAACAAGUGCGUCUCAGGAAAGGCCUGUGCGGGUGCCCCACCCGGCGUGGCGCCGACCCCAGCACCUGGCAGCCUUUCCGCGUGGCCACAGAGGGCGGCCGGUUCCAGCCACCCAGAGCCGUCUCCAUGGUGACGGGCGCCGAGCCGAGCUGGGCUUUUGAAGAAGGCUCAUAAAGACGCAAACUUACCCCAGAUGAGCCGUCGUGCGUUUGUGAGGCAAACAUCUCGGGCCAGCCCUGUGCCUUGUAAACCCCGGCUGGCCAGUGGCCUCGGCGGCCUUGGCGAAGACGCAGCUGCUGGUGUGCCAGGCUUGGCGCUCCUGCCUCAGGCCCACCCACCCCAUGUGGGGAGCUUCGGAGGUACAUGCCGUCAGCUGGAGUCAGCUGCCUGUCUGUGGGACUCUGAGCGAGCGCCUCCACCUCUCGGAGCCUUGGCGUCCUCAUCUGGAAAAUGGGCAGGAGGCUAGACUGAUGCAGAUGGGUGGGAUAGGGUCGGUGCUGGCUUCCCUCCGCCUCCUCCUCCUUUUCGGCAUCACCCGAGCGCAGGUGCGUAGGGCCCCCUCCUCCUGGCAGUGUCGGCGGGCCCUCCUCCUGCUCCGGCACCCUGCACGUCCACCCGCGUCAGCACUCGGCGCACCGAACCGCAAUAGUCUGUUCGCUCGUCUCCCAGACAGGCCCGAGUGACUGACAGCGGGGCCCUCCCCUCCCCGAGCCCGGCUCGACGGUGGCACUCGACAGGUCUUCAGUAAAUGUCUAAGAGCAAAUGAA